rnacentral:rRNA from 1 species
AACGAACGCUGGCGGCAGGCUUAACACAUGCAAGUCGAACGCAUCGCAAGAUGAGUGGCAGACGGGUGAGUAACGCGUGGGAAUCUACCUAGUUCUACGGAACAACAGUUGGAAACGACUGCUAAUACCGUAUACGCCCUAAGGGGGAAAGAUUUAUCGGAAUUAGAUGAGCCCGCGUAAGAUUAGCUAGUUGGUGGGGUAAUGGCCUACAAGGCGACGAUCUUUAGCAGGUCUGAGAGGAUGAUCAGCCACACUGGGACUGAGACACGGCCCAGACUCCUACGGGAGGCAGCAGUGGGGAAUAUUGGACAAUGGGCGCAAGCCUGAUCCAGCCAUGCCGCGUGAGUGAUGAAGGCCUUAGGGUUGUAAAGCUCUUUCACCGAUGAAGAUAAUGACGGUAGUCGGAGAAGAAGCCCCGGCUAACUUCGUGCCAGCCGCCGCGGUAACAC